UCUUUCUCAAAGGAACGGUGAAUCACAUCUGUGUUUGUGCAGACCCUUUUCUAUCUAUGGCUUACAAGGUGCUUGAUGAAAAUCCUAGAUAAUAUUACUAUUGACAGGAAGUUGCAGCCAGUGGUGGUGUUCCUUGGCAAUGACGAGAGGAACAUACUAUGGAUUCUUGGAGAUUCAAUGCAGUUAUGGUGCUACACUGCUACCCUCCUUGGUGUCGCAUGUUUCCCUGGUUUUACCUUCCCAGAGAGGCUGAUGGAUUCUGGACAGUUGUAGGUUCUAUUAUUGAAGUGUGUUCUGGUGAUUGUGGAGUGUGUCUGCACUGAAAUAUUAUGGUGUACAUUUCUGUUGGUAAUUGGAUAGGUGGUUCUUAUGCAGCUUACAUGUCAUUGGGUUUGCAGUGCUCAAUGCCUUUGAAUUAUUUUGCUUUAGGUGGAUGCUUUGAUCAAAUAAAGUUAUUCGUCAUUUCCACCUCUUCCACCCUCGCGGCCGGAGGAUGCCAGACAACAUCGCAAAGCAUAUUGGCACAAGUGAGCUUCCUACUUCUUUGUUCAUGGAUCUACAUUUUGAAUCAUUUGUGUCUUUGCUUUCUCUGGUUGGUGUUCAUGGUCAUCGAGUUGGGGAAAAUCCGUAGAGAAGAAAAUUGGAAAACUUGCAAGAAAAACUUCAGAUUUCUGAGGAGUAAUUUUAACAUGCAUGGAAAAAUGUAAGGGGUUAGAAAAGGAACUGCUUCAUAUACCAAAGGACCAAACAUGAGGGAAAGAACUAGAAAUUUUCUUGUUCUACAGGCAGAACUAAAAAACCAAAGAAGCAGCAUACAUGAUUUUAUUCCAAGUUCUGUAGACCAGGAAAUCCGGAGGCUGGGAGAUAGCUUUCGUGUCUUCACUGUAUACAAUAUAUUUUGCCAUUUUUAGUGAAGACUAUAUCAUUUUUCCUAUGCCAUAAAACUAAAUCUAAUUCUCGAUCAAACAAUUACCAAAAUAAUUGCGAUAGGGUAGUGCUGGACAUAUAUUUGAGUGAAUGGUCAUUUAAAAUAUUGGUGUGAAUAUUUAUUUUGGACCCAAAUUUACCUUUUCAAAUUUUACGGACUAUAGGUGAACAAUAUCAAGUGCCGAGUCAUUGCAUUUGCAUCGAGUGAAUUCACCAUUGUAUAUGUAUAUACGUUGUUUGAUUCUAUGUAUGCAUUUUGUAAGAAUGAUACAAUGUUCUUGACAAAUACCUGGGAUAAACAACAUUAGUUGUUUGCUUCCAUUGUUUCCGGAUUUUGCACUACAGUAAGCACAAGUGAUAUUUCUCUACAUUUUCCCAUUUCUUCGUGUCUUGGCAACAUUAUUAGAUAUAUUCUAAAUUAGUGAAGACUUGCUGCAUGUUAAUUCAUAAACAACAGAAGCCUAUGUUGAUGUUACAUGUUUGAAACGAUGAUGUUUGCAGACCCUUAUCUUUUCAUGGACUAUGCAUGGAAGACCUUUAGAUUACAUUCUGGAUUGAGAUGUUAAUGAUCUCUAAUGAUGCAGACAACGCACCUUCUCGUUUUUGUUAUCUGUGUUAGACUCUGGCUAUUUCUGGUAUGUUGUGCUCAUAAUAUUGUUUUAUUUUGAGGCAUGUUUUCUAAGAAAUGGGAUGCAUUCCUACUUACUCAUCUAAUCUCAAACCAUCUUGAUCCUACCUUGAUUUGCUUCUUGUUGGGGUACACUGGUUGUCCUGAUGGUGAAUCCAUGUUGAUUUUUGACUUGCAGCUGCAUCUGAUUGGAUAGCUCAUACUUCCUUCAUGACCUGAUGGUGAAUCCAUGUCUCUAUUGCAAUUUAAUAGUGGUCUCUAUUGCAAUUUAGUAGAUUCAUAUUUUUCUGUACCAUUUAGUUUUUAAGCACACAUGCUCUACACAAUACUGUCAGUGAAUCCUAGAAGUAAACCUCGCACAUCUUAAAUCUGUACCAGACGAAACUUGAAGCAGUGACGAGGCUGAUGCCAAGAGCCAUGAGGCGAGUAACACCGGCUGUAUGAGACCCCCAUGCACACCAGCUACAUCUUGCGGCAUCGGAUGUUGACAUAAUGGCAUCAAACCGGUGUAAAAUUAUAUUUCUGUCAAGGCACUAUGUACCUAAUACAAUGACGAGGUAUUUAAGAAACUUCCCAAAACACAUGAAGUAAAGUUUCUGACGAUAUAAUAACCUGAUGAGCUGCUGCUAUUAAGAUCAAACCAACAAAGCAGGGAAAAGCUCAGGAUGUCUCCAAAGGCAAGUGAACAGGGCGAAGUUAUGGCUUGCAUACCUCUGUUUUUACAAGUGAGCCAGACCCAUCAUUUUUGUUUACUAAGUUUAAGCUAUGGAUGUUGGUGAGAUUCCAUCUAGGGUCAUGAUCAAGGCAGCGCCGUCUCCAGUUUCCAAAGCCAUUAACAACACCAUAUCCACCAAUGGUGAAGGGAGAAGUGCCGGUGACAUUAUCUCCGACAACAUGUCAUAAACAUUAUUCCGAUGGAGAAGUCCGACUAUACAACCAACAACCUUUGACAUGUUGUACUAAUGACAGUUUACAUAGUGUUUUUAGCUAUCGAAUAGUUUUUUUCAUUUGAUGUUUUAUUAUCAUCAAUAUCUAUAGAUGCUUAAUAUAGUACUUUAUAAACUGUUUACCAGAGCCGUGAGCCAUGACAAGCUCCAAAAUAUUGCUCUAUUUCCUCUUUUCUUGAUUGUAUAUAAGCAUUUGCUACUCCAUUCA